CAGUAGCCGCGGGAAUGCGUAGGGUGCAAGCGUUAAUCGGAAUUACUGGGCGUAAAGCGUGCGCAGGCGGUUUGUUAAGACAGAUGUGAAAUCCCCGGGCUCAACCUGGGAACUGCAUUUGUGACUGGCAAGCUAGAGUGUGGCAGAGGGGGGUGGAAUUCCGCGUGUAGCAGUGAAAUGCGUAGAUAUGCGGAGGAACACCGAUGGCGAAGGCAGCCCCCUGGGCCAACACUGACGCUCAUGCACGAAAGCGUGGGGAGCAAACAGGAUUAGAUACCCCUGUAGUCCCUGUCUCUUAUAC
rnacentral:rRNA from 1 species